CAGUACUAGAACCAGUACCAGAACUUAAUAAAUAAUUUCAUAAUAAUUAAUUUAUUUAAUACGCCUGGAAUCGGUUAUUAAUGUGUAACAGUUUAAAUAUAUUAUGUAGGUAAAUAUGUGAUAAAAUGAUUAUACAAUAAUCCUUUUUAUCGGGUUUGUUAUUUUUAGGGGACGUUUUGAUUUGUAAAUAAUAACCAAGUACAGUCCAACCGAACCAUUGCAGAACAUCACAAUGUACCUAACUACCACCACUGUAACGGCAGAAAAUGGUCUUAAUCGAGUGCUCAACGUAAUAGCGGUAAAUAAUUCCAUACCUAUUAAUUUUUAAGUACUUAGCUACUAUUAUACUCACUUCAGUGAGAUAGGUAUUCAAAAAGAUGUUUGAGUUAAGUGUAGAUAGAACUAUAAUAGAAGUUAGGGAAAAAGUAGGGCAAAGAAAAAUUGCGUACAAGUGAUUGAGGAAGUUAUGAGAGCAUUUGAAUCGUGCAAAGCGAAAACAGAAGUAAUCCAUUUCUGUAAAUUUUUCAGGAGAGCAAAACAAAAAGUUGAAUCACAAUCAUUCUUCACCAAUAUACCUAAUCUUUUCCUUUCAAUAUUAGCAAAAUGAAAUCUUUUUUUACUGAUUUAAUUUCAACAUUCAGUAUUAUUCAUAAUGUGCUAUCGAAACAAAAGAUUAAAAUAAAAAUUGAAAAAUAUUGGACCAUUUUCCCUCUGUAUUCUUUAUUGGGAAUACAUAAAUAAGUAUGACUGAUAGACAGUUUUGGAGGAUGAGAAUAAAAGUAUCUGAUUCCAUGUGCACGGUUUGUUUACAUUUUUUAUUUUAUCAUAAUCAUGCAGAAUUAUAAAGUUGACUUACAUAAUUAUAGGAUCUACCUACCUAGUGUAUCAUUUGCAUAAUAUAAUUUUAUUAGAAUUUCAUCAUUUGCAUUAUUAUUUUGUAAGACAGUGAUGAGAAAGGAUUCAUUUAAUAUUUAUAAUUCUAUGACAAUAACUAGGGCAGAGGACUUGUAGCAUUUGCAUAUUCUUUUUGCAUGGUCACAAAAAUAGCAGAGUGCGAAACAAAUACAUUUCACGCUUCCACAAAGCUGGUUUUGAAAUUUUAUUGUGCAUAUAAAUGCAUAAUUUACAAGUUUUUAGUUUUUAGGGCAUAUUUCUUCCAUUUUAUACUUUUAAAUGCAUUUUUUUUAAUAAUGUAUCAUUUUAUCAAUUUUUUUUCAUCGACGUUUUUAUUUAUUUAUUUAUACAAGCAAAAUAAUGUUGAAUUUAAAAUUAUUUGAAAUUUUGAUCAUAAUAUGAAUAUGGCUGUUGACUUUUCCCAGACUUAUGUUUUACCUAAAAACACAUCUCGAGAGUUGCCGAUUAGAUUGAUUGUCGAGUUAUUCAUUUUAUUUAUAGACAGAUAAAAUAAUAUUGUUCAUCGCACAAAAUAUUAUUGUUACGGGCCACUGGAACAGCGAUUUAGUAUAUUUCAUAUAUGAUCCUAUAAAUUCCUUUGAUGUUGAAUGUUCUUUUUCAAUGUUUAAAGUGCUUGUUAGCUGACAAUGAAAAAGUUGUCUGUUUGAAAAUUUGGAAAAAAAUCUUGUUGUUCGAUGUAACUUCCAAGGUAAAAAUUUGUGUUAAUCUUAAAUAUUUGAAAAUAAAAUAUUUUGUCAAUUGUUUUUUAGUAGUAAAAUAAGUAUCCAGAUAAGAAAACCUAUAAACUAAACUCAAAUAAUUAAAAUAAUUAAUAGUAACUUGUAUGUUGUUGAAAAAAGUUAUAAACAAAAUGUAUUCAUUAAAAUAAUAGGUACCUACAGAAAAAUUCUUAUUAUUUUUUUUUUCAAAAAUAUUAAUUUUAAAAUGUAUAUUUUUAAUGCAUAUUUUGUAUAUUUAAGUGCAUAUUUGGUGAUUUUUUAGAGCUACAAGUCCUCCGCCCUAAUAAUAACAUUUCAACUUGAAUUUAAUACACAAAUUGGCUUGCCUUUUACAAAACAAAAUAUUUUAACUUUGGCUUGUUUAAUUUGAAUGACUUCAAAAUUUAUUGAUUGUAAACCUAAUCCAAAUUAUUUAUAAGAGUGGAUUUUAUUAUGUGGCUACAAUAUUCAUGAAAACAAUCAAUAAAAUGUAUAAUAAAAAAUACAUUUUAUAAUAAUUUAAUAGCAUUAUUUUAAUAAUUUCAGAAAGUUCACGAAUUAGUUGAAGCAUUCAAUGGCUAUAUUUAAAAAGAUUCUCUGAAGAAUUAUGAACAAAUCGAAAAAUUGUUCAAAAUACUAAUAAUGUAACUCGAUUAAAUGAUAGUCGUUAAAAUGAUAUUAAAAGUUACUUGUACUCAAACAGUAAGUGUUCAUCAAAAAGUUUUUCUUCUUCAAAAAUUAGUUUAAAAACAUGGUGUUUUAUCUAGGUGAAUAAAAUUUAAAUUAUUUAUAACUUCAGAUAGAUUGUUCUGUUAAUAUUUUUUUUGUUUCUAGGUUGCUGUGUGAAUGUAUUAUUUAUUCUAAAUAUCUUGUCUAUACUAAUUCUGAAUUUUUGAUUGAAUGGUUUUAUAUAAUUCAAUCAAUAAAAUAACUACAAAGAAGUUAGAGAAAUAAUGAAGGUAAAAUUAACUGAAAGUAAUGUAUUAUUUAUUUUGAAACUUUUUAAUCAAAUCUGUGUGUUGUAAUAUUUAGGGAUGUUUGGAAAAAGUUAUGUUGAUGCCAAAAGCAUUACCUACAUCUAUAUUACCUCAGUUUAUUGCUCUCGAAGAAGUCAUUAAAUAUAUAAUUGAUAGAGAUGCCUAUCUACUUCCUGAUUAUUUUGUAAUUAAUCAAGUACUCAGAGUAUACAGUGAAAAUAAAGGGCGGCCACAUUUGGUAAACAUUAUUUUAUUUGUUAUUUAAUAUUAUUUAUAUUUAUCUUCUUUCAUAUAGUUGAUUUUUUUUUUUUUAUAGAAACUUUCUUGUUUGGUGUCUAAUUUUAUUGAUAGUUUUCGAAAUGCUGCACAAAUGAAAACAAUGAUUGGCCAUUCUUCAAUUCUACCUGUUGUAGAAGAUUCUGGUUAUGGUGACCACUUAAUCACUCCAUGGAAAUUAAAUUCAAAUACAUUAAAGUUAAUAUUAAAAGGAAACAUAUUAUAUCCUAAACAAUUGUUGCAGCAACAGACAAAAUAAUUAAGAUAUGUAUUUUAACAGCCUUACUCUAAGGAUAUGGUUUGCUCUACGUUUAGUUUACAGAAAAUGGUAAAUAAUAAAGUUAUAUUUAUUAUUUUUGAUUUAUCUUUAUUCACACAUUUAUUUAUUUAUGUUAAUUAAUAUAUUUAUAUAAGAUUUAGCUAAUAUAAUAUUUCAUCUCAAUAUAAUUUAAUAGUUGUCUACAUAAUUUCUUUUCUUAUUCAGAAACAAAGAUAUAUUAUUUUGAAGAAUAGUUAGAGUUCAUUAGAUCAAUGGAAAGAAAUGACAGAAGGUGCAGAUCCAGAAGAAACCAUUGGUUUUGGUUACAUAGUUCAAGCCAACUAAGUAAUUUUAUCUAUUUCAAUUUGUUGGGUUUCCAAAUAGUGUUAAUUCUCUUCAUGAAAAAGUAUAAAAGAAUAAGUUUACUAAAAUACAUAUUUUUUAUUUAACUAUGAACAUUUUUUCUUUUAAUUGUAGGUGUUGAAAAAGAUUUACACUAAUCUAGAAAUCCUUUAAUGUGGGUACAUUUGAAAUACAUAUCAGAAAGUAUUCAAAGUAAUUCAGUUAGUUUUUAAAGUUUUAUUUUAAAAAAAAUGUUGAGUACUAAAAUAUAAAUAUAUUAUAUUAUGUUAUAUUAUAUUAUAUUUUAUUUACACUUACAAUUACAUAUAUUUUAGCUGGAAAAUAUUUUGUCAGUUUUAAAAUUAUAUGACCUCUUGUAUCCUGAAAAAUUACUAUUACCCAUUCCUGACACUAGUAAUAUACUUUGCACAGCUAUUAUUUGUAUUUGGAUUCAUUUAUUAUAUACAACUCUUAUUGAUAGUAUCAAAUUGCAUAGACCCAUACCAUUAGCUUUAAAAGACCAUUAUGUUUAAGUAAAUGUAAUUAAAUAUUUAUUGGGGUAUUUUAAUUUUAUCAACAAAUGUACUUAAGUUAGCUCAGUCUAAAUCUAAUUCAGCACUACCACCCACCCAUAGAAACAUACAGCAGACUUCUAGUUUACAAAGAAAUAGAAUUGUUGGAAAUCAAAGGAUUCCUAAGUUAGUAAAUAAUCAAUAAGUUGAAAAUAAAUUCAUUGAUAUACUAACCAUACUUAGCCCGAACCCAUUGGUACGCGGGGCUCCGCGGUUUCAGGGUUCCACAAUACUUGUGGUCGGACACGGGGGAAUGUGGGACCAGCUCGCCGCUCCGAAAACUUUUGAACCUCCACUCCUACUAAAUAGCCAUAGGCACAGGGUGUGUGGUUGUAGGUUAAGAUAUUCACCAAACAAAAAUCGGAUUCAAUUACCCAAAAUAAAUACCAUAUCUGCAUAUUCAAUGACAGUGUAUUGCAUUGUUUAAAAUGUUAUUUAUAAAUUUAAUUUAACUGUUUUUCAAUGCCAAGUAUUGAAUAGAGUGGUGGUUAAGUCCCUUCAAUAUUAAUGAUAAAAGUAGGUACAAUUUUACACAGUUAAUAAGUUCAAAAUAAAAUGUUAUCUUGUAAUAAUAAUGAUAAAAUAAGGUUUUUGUGAUAAACAAAAAUAGUAAUUUCCUUAUAAAUACAUAAAUGGUUAGUAGUUUUUUUCAUGAUAUUACAGAUAAAAGCCACCAUCUAAUAUUAAAGAUCUAAAACACAACUUAAAUUCAUAGCAAUACAUUUGAUAGUUUAAAAAUCAAUUAACCCUAAUUUUGUUAUUAUUUCAUAAUUUGUAUUAGUUUACAAUGUAAAAACUGUGCUAAUUAAUGAGGUAUAUUAAAUUACAAUAAACAAAUUUCAUCAUACUUUGCAGUAUUUUCAUACACAUUGAUGUAUCACACAUUUAUUUUUCCUUUUUUUUUCAAAAAAAAACCAGCAAUGAUUUUAAUUUGUAUGACUUUUGUAAAGAAUAUCAUUAGAGUAUUAAUUUUUGGAUUGCAGAUAAUAUUCCACAAAUAACUUAAAAAAAAAACAGGUUUUGAAGAUGAGAAAAAACUUCAAUAUCAUCGUUAAGUCACCCUACUAAAUACUGGUGUCCUCAUUCAUUUUAGAAAAACUCUGUAUACAAUUUGUAUUUCACCUAGGAGGAACGAAACAUGUAUUAACUUUCCUAAAUAAUGGUGAAUUAUAUCUGAGUUUAGCUGCACAAUCAUUAUUUCUUUAUAGAAUAGUUUGGAAGGUUGCUACAACUGCUACAGAAGUUUUCUGCUACUUUCAUAUGCUAUAUCAAAUAAAUUACUCCAAAUAUAAACUCUUAUAUACAUCUUAUAAUAUUUUUCAAGGUGCACACUAAUUUCUGAAAUAUAAUUGUAUACCGAGGAAAAAAGAUUUAAAUAAAGUUCUUUCAGUAACUUGGGUACCAUAAUAUUUUCAAUUAUCUCAGUUUAAUUAAAGGUGCUUGAAUAUUGAAAGGAUUUGAAGGAUGCAAAAGUUGAUUAACAUAUAACUUCUUUAUUGGUGGUUGGAUAUCUAACCAUAAGUGUAGUGUGGACCAUGGUUUAUUAGUUCUUAUAGUUGCUUAAAUAAGUUAAAAUAAAAGCAUUUAGUUUAGUGUUAGAAAAUUUCUUUAAUAAAAGUACCUAUAUAGUAACAUUUUAGUCUAUUUCCAAAGUGUACACCCUUGGGCACUUUCAUAUAAGAUUACAUAGCAAUAAUACAUGGUGAAUAAAAUUAAUAUUUUAGUUAAUAAUUUUUUAUUUAUUUUUAAUAAUUUUUGAAGAUGUUACUAAUAUUAGCAUAUUGCUGAGUAUAAUACCUACGUACUUAAAUUAUACUUAUGAAUUAAGUACUUAGUUAGGUUAAGUUUAAUUUUAAUUAUAAUAUUAUUAAAUGAAAUAUCAUAAUAUAAUGUCUAUUAGGUAUUAACUAUAAUAAUAAUUUGUUAAAUUAUAUUUUAUAGGUUUACAGUCAAUUGGUAAAAUGUCCUCCAAUCAUUCUGAUAGUAAUGCCAAAAACAUUUGCAUUAAAUUAACGAUUAUUUUGCAGAAGAAGGUUCUGUGCCCUUCAAUAUUUAAUCUUUCUAGUAUUUUUUAUGUCUUUAUAUUAUAGUAAAUAAUUGUUUAUUAUUAACUUAUAUGUUUAUAUAAUAUAACAAUACAAUAUUCAAACAUGCCAUUAUGUGUCUUAAACUUACCGCCUUAAAAUAAAAUAUUUUUUAACAAAACAUCACUUUUACUUAAUAUUAUGAGUUUAUGUGUAUUCUCACUUAUAAAUCAAAUUGAAAACAGCAUUAUAUGUAUAACAACUUUAAACUUAUUAAAACAUUACUUAACAUUACUUAGAUACCAGCAUCUACUAUCUCAGUUCAACUACCGGGUAACAUACAAAAACAAUUUUUACAUAAAAUAAGUAAAACUAGCUUAUUUUUGAUUUUAGAAUAUAAGUACCUAUUAUGAAAUUUAUAUAGAACAAUAUUUUGGAGUGAAUGUCAUAU